rnacentral:rRNA from 1 species
GACGAACGCUGGCGGCGUGCUUAACACAUGCAAGUCGAACGGAAAGGCCCUGCUUGCAGGGUACUCGAGUGGCGAACGGGUGAGUAACACGUGGGUGAUCUGCCCUGCACUUCGGGAUAAGCCUGGGAAACUGGGUCUAAUACCGGAUAGGAGCCAUUUUUAGUGUGAUGGUUGGAAAGUUUUUUCGGUGUAGGAUGAGCUCGCGGCCUAUCAGCUUGUUGGGGGGGUAAUGGCCUACCAAGGCGGCGACGGGUAGCCGGCCUGAGAGGGUGGACGGCCACAUUGGGACUGAGAUACGGCCCAGACUCCUACGGGAGGCAGCAGUGGGGAAUAUUGCACAAUGGGCGCAAGCCUGAUGCAGCGACGCCGCGUGGGGGAUGACGGCCUUCGGGUUGUAAACUCCUUUCGCUAGGGACGAAGCUUUUUGUGACGGUACCUAGAGAAGAAGCACCGGCUAACUACGUG